GAUGAACGCUGGCGGCGUGCUUAACACAUGCAAGUCGAACGAUGAAAGCGGGAGCUUGCUCCUGCUGGAUUAGUGGCGAACGGGUGAGUAACACGUGAGUAACCUGCCCUUGACUCUGGGAUAAGCGUUGGAAACGACGUCUAAUACCGGAUACGACCUUCGGAGGCAUCUCCUGGGGGUGGAAAGAAUGUCGGUCAAGGAUGGACUCGCGGCCUAUCAGCUAGUUGGUGAGGUAAUGGCUCACCAAGGCGACGACGGGUAGCCGGCCUGGGGGGCUGACCGGCCACACUAGGACUGUGACACGGCCAAGACUCCUACGGGAGGCAGCAGUGGGUAAUAUUGCACAAUGGGCGAAAGCCUGAUGCAGCAACGCCGCGUGAGGGACGACGGCCUUCGGGUUGUAAACCUCUUUUAGUAGGGAAGAAGCGAAAGUGACGGUACCUGCAGAAAAAGCACCGGCUAACUACGUGCCAGCAGCCGCCGUAAGAC
rnacentral:rRNA from 1 species